rnacentral:rRNA from 1 species
CCUACGGGAGGCAGCAGUGAGGAAUAUUGGACAAUGGGCGCAAGCCUGAUCCAGCCAUGCCGCGUGCAGGAAGAAGCAUCUAUGGUGUGUAAACUGCUUUUGUACAGGAAGAAACACUCCCUCGUGAGGGAGCUUGACGGUACUGUAAGAAUAAGGACCGGCUAACUCCGUGCCAGCAGCCGCGGUAAUACGGAGGGUCCGAGCGUUAUCCGGAAUCAUUGGGUUUAAAGGGUCCGUAGGCGGUUUAAUAAGUCAGUGGUGAAAUCUGGUCGCUCAACGAUCAAACGGCCAUUGAUACUGUUAGACUUGAAUUAUAAGGAAGUAACUAGAAUAUGUAGUGUAGCGGUGAAAUGCUUAGAUAUUACAUGGAAUACCAAUUGCGAAGGCAGGUUACUACUUAUGGAUUGACGCUGAUGGACGAAAGCGUGGGGAGCGAACAGGAUUAGAUACCCUGGUAGUCCACGCCGUAAACGAUGGAUACUAGCUGUUCGGAGCAAUCUGAGUGGCUAAGCGAAAGUGAUAAGUAUCCCACCUGGGGAGUACGUUCGCAAGAAUGAAACUCAAAGGAAUUGACGGCUGAGACGNGCGACGACGACGACGAGGAGGAGG